rnacentral:rRNA from 1 species
CUGUUUGGACUAGGGGCCCAUCCCGGGUUACCGAAUUCAGACAAACUCCGAAUGCCAGAUAAAUAUCAACGGGAGUCAGACUGCGGGUGAUAAGGUUCGUAGUCGAAAGGGAAACAGCCCAGACCGCCAGCUAAGGUCCCAAAUUGUAUGUUAAGUGGAAAAGGAUGUGAUGAUGCACAGACAACCAGGAUGUUGGCUUAGAAGCAGCCACCAUUUAAAGAGUGCGUAAUAGCUCACUGGUCGAGUGACAUCGCGCCGAAAAUGUACCGGGGCUAAACAUACAACCGAAGCUGCGGAUAUAACUAAUGUUAUAUGGUAGGAGAGCGUUCUAACAUCAUAGAAGCCGAGCUGUAAGGCGAGGUGGAGAGGUUAGAAGUGAGAAUGCCGGUGUGAGUAGCGAAAGAUAGGUGAGAAUCCUAUCCACCGAAUGACUAAGGUUUCCAGAGGAAGGCUCGUCCGCUCUGGGUAAGUCGGGACCUAAGGUGAAGCCGAAUGGUGAAGCCGAUGGACAACAGGUAGAAAUUCCUGUACCACCAAAUAUCGUUUGAGAGAAGUGGGGACAGAGGAGGCUAAUUGAUCGUCCUGAUGGAAUAGGACGUCUAAGCACAAAGGUUGAGUAGUAGGCAAAUCCGCUGCUCGAGAAGACUGAAGUGUGAUGGGGAGCGAAAUUAAAGUAGCGAAGUCAAUGAAGCCAAACUCUCAAGAAAAGCCGCUAUCGAGAUAAGAGGUGCCCGUACCGCAAACCGACACAGGUAGUUGGGAAGAGAAUUCUAAGGUGAGCGAGAGAACCAUCGUUAAGGAACUCGGCAAAAUGACCCCGUAACUUCGGGAGAAGGGGUGCCUACGAGAGUAGGCCGCAGUGAAUAGGCCCAAGCGACUGUUUAACAAAAACACAGGUCUCUGCAAAACCGUAAGGUGAAGUAUAGGGGCUGACGCCUGCCCGGUGCUGGAAGGUUAAGAGGAGUGCUUAGCGUAAGCGAAGGUAUGAAUUGAAGCCC